rnacentral:rRNA from 1 species
UACGGAGGGUGCAAGCGUUAUCCGGAUUCACUGGGUUUAAAGGGUGCGUAGGCGGGCAGGUAAGUCCGCGGUGAAAUCUCUGAGCUUAACUCAGAAACUGCCAUGGAUACUAUUUGUCUUGAAUAUUGUGGAGGUGAGCGGAAUAUGUCAUGUAGCGGUGAAAUGCUUAGAUAUGACAUAGAACACCAAUUGCGAAGGCAGCUCGUUACACGAAGAUUGACUCUGAGGCACGAAAGCGUGGGGAUCAAACAGG